CAAAUUAUAUAGUCAUAAAUAUAAG
rnacentral:snRNA from 1 species